rnacentral:rRNA from 1 species
UACGUAGGGGGCGAGCGUUGUCCGGAUUUACUGGGCGUAAAGCGCGUGUAGGCGGCCUGUUAAGUGGGGUGUGAAAGCCCGGGGCUCAACCCCGGGACGCCGCUUCAAACUGGCAGGCUUGAGGACGGAAGAGGGGAGUGGAAUUCCUGGUGUAGCGGUGAAAUGCGUAGAGAUCAGGAGGAACACCCGUGGCGAAGGCGGCUCCCUGGUCCGUCCCUGACGCUGAGACGCGAAAGCGUGGGGAUCAAACAGG